rnacentral:rRNA from 1 species
GAUGAACGCUGGCGGCGUGCCUAAUACAUGCAAGUCGAGCGAACAGAUGAGGAGCUCGCUCCUCUGACGUUAGCGGCGGACGGGUGAGUAACACGUGGAUAACCUACCUAUAAGACUGGGAUAACUUCGGGAAACCGGAGCUAAUACCGGAUAAUAUAUUGAACCGCAUGGUUCAAUAGUGAAAGACGGUUUUGCUGUCACUUAUAGAUGGAUCCGCGCCGGAUUAGCUAGUUGGUAAGGUAACGGCUUACCAAGGCAACGAUGCGUAGCCGACCUGAGAGGGUGAUCGGCCACACUGGAACUGAGACACGGUCCAGACUCCUACGAGAGGCAGCAGUAGGGAAUCUUCCGCAAUGGGCGAAAGCCUGACGGAGCAACGCCGCGUGAGUGAUGAAGGUCUUCGGAUCGUAAAACUCUGUUAUUAGGGAAGAACAAAUGUGUAAGUAACUAUGCACGUCUUGACGGUACCUAAUCAGAAAGCCACGGCUAACUACGUG